GCGCACAACAUUAACUGCGCUGGCGAGCAGCUUGUUCAAACAAACUGUACAACAUUUAAUUUACAUCGUCGUUCAGAAAAUUUUCAAAUAUUUUGAAACAAUACAUUUGCUCAACUGAUAGGUACCUAAGCAAGCACAUUGUUAACUGUGCAGGGGACAAUAGCCAACGUGAUGCGGAGGUUGUCACAGGGUGCAAUUGGGUGGAGAUUUAAUUUCAAAUCCCAUAACCUGGACUUACUGAUAAGGCAAUUCAACAAAUGGUGAGCAAGUGUAAGUGCACUGGUACGGUUAAGAAUGAGCCCAGAAAAGGCCAUCUAUCAACAUCUGCUGACUAAAUUUAAGACAUUAGAACGCCUACUGAUUGCAGUACAAAAUCGGUGCGACGAUUGUUAGCAGAACUGGAUGUUCCACACUGGAUAGUAUGUAAUGUGUUUCAACAUGCUCUGAGAACAAGCCAUACCACCUGAAAGUUCACCACCAACUGAAUAUGAGGAUUUGGCAGAAUGUAGCAACAUGUGCUAGGGUUUGCCUAAGCAGAUGCAAAUCACAACAGCCUCAACCAGAUCCUAUUCAGUAAUGAGGCAACUUUCUACACAUGUGGAAGGUUUAACUGACAUAACUGAGUCAUCUGGACUACCACACCACCAGUUGAGCACCUGGAAUUCCUGAGACUCUCCCAAAGUUAAUUUGUGGAUAGGAAUAUCCACUGACAAAAUCUAGGACCUGUUCUUCUUUGCUGAAAACUCCAUCAGUAUCUGGAUACGCUGGAACACUUUCUUUAACUACAGCUUGUGUGGGAUGAACAUGUACAUAAUGUUUACCCCAGCAGACGGGGGCACACCACCAUUACACCAUAUACGUGUGUAUGUUUUUGAAUAGUGUGUUUCCUGAAAGACGGAUUAGGUGCAGAGGACCAUGAUAUGGGUGGCUUGUUCUCCUGGCCUCACAGCCACUGACUUCUUCGUCUGGGGAUUUGUCGAGCGACUUGUGCUUUGCCAACAUAAUAUCAGCUCAUUGGCAGAGCUCUCAGACUGAAUUAGACAUCCUGCUGCAGCUAUAGCACCGCAAAUGCUCCAGAAUGUCUUUCGUGAUACAGCUGGCUGAUGAGAAUUGUGUCGGGAUGUGAAUGGCUCGUUAAACAUAACAUGUGACAAAUGUAUGUCACAAUAAAUAAUAGAAUACAGUAAUUAUUCAGCAAAACGUAUUCUUAAUUUCUGGAUACCCUCUAUAAACAAGGUCUCUAGAUCGUAAAUACAAUAGAUGCUGCAGGAUGUAUUCCUGGAAAUCUUGAAAAAAUAACUUCACAAAAAAUUUGUAAGUUUCCAAGAUGAUAACUGUGUGUGUGUGUGUGUGUGUGUGUGUGUGUGUGUGUGUGUCAGUCCACUGUGGUACAGA